ACUCUCUGGGGAAUCACAAACCCUGCUUCGGAAUAUCUCCCGACUCCCAACACAAUUUAGUUAUACCCCUGU